CAGAACAUAGACGGACGGUAGCACAGAGGAGCUUGCUCCUCGGGUGACGAGUGGCGGACGGGUGAGUAAUGUCUGGGGAUCUGCCCGAUAGAGGGGUAUACCCACUGGAAACGGUGGCUAAUACCGCAUAACGUCGCAAGACCAAAGAGGGGGACCUUCGGGCCUCUCACUAUCGGAUGAACCCAGAUGGGAUUAGCUAGAAGGCGGGGUAACCGCCCACCUAGGCGACGAUCACUAGCUGGUCUGAGAGGAUGACCAGCCACACUGGAACUGAGACACGGUCCAGACUCCUACGGGAGGCAGCAGUGGGGAAUAUUGCACAAUGGGCGCAAGCCUGAUGCGGCCAUGCCGCGUGUAUGAAGAAGGCCUUCGGGUUGUAAAGUUCUUUCAGCGGGGAGGAAGAUGAUGUGGUUAAAAACCUUACUGAUUGACGUUACCCGCAGAAGAAGCACCGGCUAACUCCGUGCAAGCAGCCGCGGUAAUACCGAGGGUGCAAGCGUUAAUUGGAAUUAUUGGGCGUAAAGCGCACGCAGGCGGUCUGUUAAGUCAGAUGUAAAAUCCCCGGGCUUAACUUGGGAACUGCGUUUGAAACUGGCAGGCUGUAGUCUCGUUCAAGGGGGUAGAAUUCCAGGUGUAGCGUUGAAAUGCGUAGAGAUCCGGAGGAAUACCGGUGGCGAAGGCGGCCCCUUGGACGAAGACUGACGCUCAGGUGCGAAAGCGUGGGGAGCAAACCGGAUUAGUUACUCUGGUAGUCCAUACCGUAAACGAUGUCGACUUGGAGGUUGUUCCCUUGAGGAGUGGCUUCCGGAGCUAACGCGUUAACUCGACCGCCUGGGGAGUACGGCCGCAAGGUUAAAACUCAAGUG
rnacentral:rRNA from 1 species